GACGAACGCUGGCGGCGUGCUUAACACAUGCAAGUCGAACGGGUCUGCCCUGUUUUUUGCGGGGUGGGUCAGUGGCGAACGGGUGAGUAACACGUGAGUAACCUGCCCCUCACUUCUGGAUAACCGCUUGAAAGGGUGGCUAAUACGGGGUGUUCUGGCUGUGCCGCAUGGUGUGGCUGGGAAAGAUUCACUUUUGUGGUGUUUUGGUGGGGGAUGGGCUCGCGGCCUAUCAGCUUGUUGGUGGGGUGAUGGCCUGCCAAGGCUUUGACGGGUAGCCGGCCUGGGAGGGUGGGCGGUCACACUGGGACUGAGAUACGGCCCAGACUCCUGCGGGAGGCAGCAGUGGGGGGUAUUGCACAAUGGGCGGAAGCCUGAUGCAGCGACGUCGCGUGAGGGAUGGAGGCCUUCGGGUUGUGAACCUCUUUCGCCGGUGAAGAAGGUCCUGCUCCUUGUGGUGGGGUUGACGGUAGCCGGGUUAUGAAGCGCCGGCUAACUACGUG
rnacentral:rRNA from 1 species